rnacentral:misc_RNA from 1 species
CUUGGUCAUUUAGAGGAAGUAAAAGUCGUAACAAGGUCUCCGUUGGUGAACCAGCGGAGGGAUCAUUACAGAGUUGCAAAACUCCCUAAACCAUUGUGAACGUUACCUAAACCGUUGCUUCGGCGGGCGGCCACGGGCUCACCCCCGCGGCCCCCGGCCCCCUCAAGGGCGCCCGCCGGAGGCUCUAACUCUUGAAUUUAUGGCCUCUCUGAGUCUUCUGUACUGAAUAAGUCAAAACUUUCAACAACGGAUCUCUUGGUUCUGGCAUCGAUGAAGAACGCAGCGAAAUGCGAUAAGUAAUGUGAAUUGCAGAAUUCAGUGAAUCAUCGAAUCUUUGAACGCACAUUGCGCCCGCCAGUAUUCUGGCGGGCAUGCCUGUUCGAGCGUCAUUUCAACCAUCAAGCCCCCGGCUUGUGUUGGGGACCUGCGGCUGCCGCAGGCCCUGAAAACCAGUGGCGGGCUCGCUAGUCACUCCGAGCGUAGUAGUUAUAUCUCGCUCAGGGCGUGCUGCGGGUUCCGGCCGUUAAAAAGCCUUUUUUACCCAAGGUUGACCUCGGAUCAGGUAGGAAGACCCGCUGAACUUAAGCAUAUCAAUAAGCGGAGGA